CCUGACUCCCCGGGCACCCGCCUAACCCCGGAACGUCUCCGCGGACCCGCGGACCUGGGACGGGGGCUUAUGGAAAGAGCUGUUCCUCCCUAAAAUGGACGAGCCCGUGAGGGUGCUGCUUAAACGAUACUGUACAACCCAGGAACUCCUACUUCUCUGAUGAUCCCUUCACUGUCCUCUUAAAUCGUCGCCUCCCACUCCUGAAAUGAAAAUGUCCCUCCAAGAAUGGAAGAGAUUUUCUGAGGGAGAAAGCGUAGAAAGAGAAGAGACCACUGUUUCCCUCAAGAAUCCCCUGGACACAGAGCUCUAUCUUCAAUUCUUCAUCUAUAUCCACAGUUCGACUCUCUCCUGGGGCAUGUUUUCCUAUCUCCACCGGGGGGACAGAUCACGAAGGUUUGAACUGAAGCAGCAGCAAUAACGGAAGAAAGAACGGACAGGCUGGAGAGCCAUCAAGUCGGCAAGG